CUGUUUCCCUCGAGGUUUUGAGAUUACACUGGCAAUGAGGGAAUAUAUGGCAUGAAAAACUUCAUAUGUAUCAAUCCUUAUCAAAUGGGAUUUCUUUUUUUUUCCAGUACAAUGAAGUCUCACCCAUUGUAGGGUAAUUAUUUUUGGGAGGGUCUUUACAGAAAAACGUCCAGCUCCUACAUGCUUCGUCAACGAGAGGUUGCUGGUGGAAUUCUGGUCCGAGCUCCCAUGGGAGAACAGAGAAUAUAG